rnacentral:tRNA from 1 species
UCCCAUGUGGCUCAGUUGGGACAGCAUGGCGCUUGCAACACUAUGGUUGUGGGUUCGAUUCCCAUGGUGGGCC